rnacentral:rRNA from 1 species
AUUGAACGCUGGCGGCAGGCCUAACAUAUGCAAGUCGAACGGUAACAGGAAGAAGCUUGCUUCUUUGCUGACGAGUGGCGGACGGGUGAGUAAUGUCUGGGAAACUGCCUGAUGGAGGGGGAUAACUACUGGAAACGGUAGCUAAUACCGCAUAACGUCGCAAGACCAAAAAGGGGGACCUUCGGGCCUCUUGCCAUCGGAUGUGCCCAGAUGGGAUUAGCUAGUAGGUGGGGUAACGGCUCACCUAGGCGACGAUCCCUAGCUGGUCUGAGAGGAUGACCAGCCAAACUGGAACUGAGACACGGUCCAGACUCCUACGGGAGGCAGCAGUGGGGAAUAUUGCACAAUGGGCGCAAGCCUGAUGCAGACAUGCCGCGUGUAUGAAGAAGGCCUUCGGGUUGUAAAGUACUUUCAGCGGGGAGGAAGGGAGUAAAGUUAAUACCUUUGCUCAUUGACGUUACCCGCAGAAGAAGCACCGGCUAACUCCGUG